GAUGUUUUAAAGGAAGCAGAAGGAGACGGGUGUGUUUCACAUUUACUAGCCCUUGCAGAGGAUUUUCUCUCAAACUCCUCCUGCCUGACACUGGAUAAUGAGUCUGGAGUCGCGGCGGCGGCCACUCCGUUAAAAAAUGAAAGUAAAACAAGAACGGCUGCUUCUCCCCUAAAGGAGGCUCAAAAGAACAUCAAGAUCACAGGUGACCCUGCAGCCGCCCCGGUCUCCCCCUCUCUUAUCAAUGAGCCUAUCCCUAAUGAGCUAACACCCCCACUCAGCCAGUUGGAGAAAUGCCUCCGGCUUGGAAAAUAAAGGGAGCCACGGACAUCUCAA